rnacentral:rRNA from 1 species
GACGAGCCACACGAACGUUAUUCGGAAUUACUGGGCUUAAAGGGUGCGUAGGCUGCGCGGCAAGUUGGGUGUGAAAUCCCUCGGCUUAACCGAGGAACUGCGCCCAAAACUACUGUGCUUGAGUGAGAUAGAGGUGAGCGGAACUUAGGGUGGAGCGGUGAAAUGCGUUGAUAUCCUAAGGAACACCGGUGGCGAAAGCGGCUCACUGGGUCUCUUCUGACGCUGAGGUACGAAAGCUAGGGGAGCGAACGGG